GUGCCAGCCGCCGCGGUAAUACCGGCAGCACGAGUGAUGGCCGAUAUUAUUGGGCCUAAAGCGUCCGUAGCCGGCCGGACAAGUCCGUUGGGAAAUCCACGCGCCUAACGCGUGGGCGUCCAGCGGAAACUGUCCGGCUUGGGGCCGGAAGACCCGAGGGGUACGUCCGGGGUAGGAGUGAAAUCCCGUAAUCCUGGACGGACCGCCGGUGGCGAAAGCGCCUCGGGAGGACGGACCCGACGGUGAGGGACGAAAGCCAGGGUCUCGAACCGGAUUAGAUACCCUGGUAGUCC
rnacentral:rRNA from 1 species